UACGGGGGGAGCAAGCGUUGUUCGGAUUUACUGGGCGUAAAGCGCGCGCAGGCGGCUCGGCAAGCAUGGCGUGAAAGCCCCCGGCUCAACCCGGGGAGAGUCGUCGGUGGACUGUCGAGCUUGAGGGCGGUAGGGGUUGGUGGAAUUCCCGGUGUAGUGGUGAAAUGCGUAGAGAUCGGGAGGAACACCCGUGGCGAAGGCGGCCAACUGGGCCGACCCUGACGCUGAGGCGCGAAGGCGUGGGGAGCGAACGGG
rnacentral:rRNA from 1 species